CAGGGUAUAGCUCAGUGGUAGAGCAUUCGGCUGCAGAUCGAGGGUCUCCGGUUCAAACCGGGUGUUCCUUUCUUCA